rnacentral:rRNA from 1 species
UCUCCGUUGGUGAACAGCGGAGGGAUCAUUGCUGGAACGCGCUUCGGCGCACCCAGAAACCCUUUGUGAACUUAUACCUACUGUUGCCUCGGCGCAGGCCGGCCUUUUGUGACAAAGGCCCCUUGGAGACAGGGAGCAGCCCGCCGGCGGCCAACCAAACUCUUGUUUCUACAGUGAAUCUCUGAGUACAAAACAUAAAUGAAUCAAAACUUUCAACAACGGAUCUCUUGGUUCUGGCAUCGAUGAAGAACGCAGCGAAAUGCGAUAAGUAAUGUGAAUUGCAGAAUUCAGUGAAUCAUCGAAUCUUUGAACGCACAUUGCGCCCUCUGGUAUUCCGGAGGGCAUGCCUGUUCGAGCGUCAUUUCAACCCUCAAGCCUGGCUUGGUGAUGGGGCACUGCUCUCUGACGGGAGCAGGCCCUGAAAUCUAGUGGCGAGCUCGCUAGGACCCCGAGCGUAGUAGUUAUAUCUCGUUCUGGAAGGCCCUGGCGGUGCCCUGCCGUUAAACCCCCAACUUCUGAAAAUUUGACCUCGGAUCAGGUAGGAAUACCCGCUGAACUUAAGCAUAUCAU